UUUUUUUUUUUUUUUUUUUUUUGUUCUUUUAUGUAACAAAACACUGUUCAUAAUUCUGUAAAGUCUUUGUUCUUUCUAAGUUGAGGAAUUUAACAUGGCCUUGGCUGGGCAGCAGUCCGUGCCAAUUAGUACCAUUUUCUAGAACUGAUAGUCUCUUCCAUCACUUUCCUGUGUGUGAGUCCCUGGCCCUGUCUACAAGGAGAUUCACACGGUGUGUUUGCAAAGCCAGUCAUCUUAUUCCUUUCACAAAGCCCAGCUUUCUCUGUGUCCAGUGGCCUCACAAAGUCAUCUCCAUCGGCUAUGGAACGUUUUGCAAAAUACGCCAAUAUCAUGAAAGUGUGUUAAAUAGAUUUUGCAAAAAGUGAAGUCCAGAGAGUUUUAAAUAAUUUGCUUCUUUAAUUCUUAGAUUUUAAUCCAGUUUCUUGAGACAUCAAAAUGUCACCAGUCAGGUUUAGAGUCCACCACAAACAUCCUGUUUUUCAUACUGAUGAAAGGAAACAGAAAGUUUCCUCUGGUCUGACAUUAUGCUAAAAAAUAAAUAGGAUUGUGAAAUGCAUUUUUAGGCUCUACUGUGUGAAAUGCACAUGCAAACAAUAAAGCUUCACUCCUGCACAGAGGCCAUGAGACGUACUUCAGAUCUUUUGCUGUCCUUGCUGAAAGCUGGCCAAGAGAUGGUUUUGGCAGUGGGGCUUUGGUUUCAGACUGGGAGCAGAGUUUUCACUUUUGAGGUUUAACUUCAGGGGGAUAAAGUGGCAAUGUGGGAAACGCUGAAAUUGAACUUAAUUGUGUGUGGCUGUGUAUUUCUCCAUGACAUUUCCAUGCUUGUUGUUGGUCCUGGUCUGUUCAUGUGAAGUUCCAUUUUUCACAGACUACAACUUGCAAUUCGAGAUAUUAGGGAACUAUUACUGUUAGUGUCAGGGAGACUUUUGUCAUUUUCUAAGACAGAGAGAAUGUUGGACAAAGACUACGCAAGCAAUUUCUUAUGCAUAAGCAGUCCAGACUCUAGGUGCUUAACUUUUUUUGGGAUUAUAUAAUGAUGAAAAGCCAGAUUAGCAGUUUUGAAAUGAACUAAUGUGUCUAUAUAAAUAAUCUUUCUUACAAAAGGAUCUAGAACAUAGUAGAAAAAGCAAUUCCCCAACCCCCUUUGACAGACAAAAGUCCAUUUUAAAAAACUUUAUGACACUGACAUCUCGUGCCAUCCUGGACCACUUAUUUUGGCUGACCACGCUUACUAAACAUAAAAAGUUUUUUCUGAAAAGUAGUAGCUCCUCUUUCUAGAGUUUGAAUUACUGUUACAUAUUUUGUCAAUAUAUGACUCCCUAUAAAAGGAAACAUUUCAUUUACAGAAAAGACAACGAAUCCAGAUGUUAAAUCUUGUGCAUCGGGUUGAAAAACUAAGGAUGAACUGAAAUCCUCCAACAGAUGUGAGAAUAACUUCCUGAAGGCAACAGAGAGCUGGGUGUGAUCCUAAGCUGAGUUGUCCAUGAGCCCUCUGGAUGUGGGUGAAAUUGCAAACCAUGCCUGAGGUACAGUGGUGUAAAGGGAUGAUGUGGGCAGAGGCCCAGAUCCACACUUCCAUGCCAGAUGGCAGCUGCGGAGGAGUUCCAAGUUCUAGCAGCAAUGGAUGGGAAGAUAAGUGCCUCUUGAGAAGGGAAAGCCAGAUUGCAGAUUCCUUUCAAUUGCACCUGAUGACUUAUAGCCAGUCACUAAUUGGUUUGCCCAUACACGGCGGCAUAUUCAGAAUCCAGCAGCAGUGCCUGACUUUGUCUGGAGCUCUGCUCUUCCUGCAGAGAUGACUGCUAAAAUAAACCCUUGCAGAGAAAAAUAUUUUAUAUGAAGCUCUGGGAAAAGCACACAUGGCGGGGGAGUGGGGGUGGGAGGUGGGGGGGGGGGUGGUGUUUAAAUGGGUUUGGUUUGGUUUUGGUUUUUUUUGUUUUGUUUUUGUUUGUUUUUUUUUCUUUUUUGGGAGUGUUUCAUUUUGUUGUUUGUUUUUUUUCAUUUAGGAGAGCCAUAAAAUCUUUUGUAACUGUCAUUGUUAGUUAUUAAUGCAAAAUAGUGUAGCUGGCUGUGAUAUGCUAACAGUUGACAAUAUAUGCAUAUUAAAACAGAGACAGAAAUGACAAAUAGAGCUUUGUCUAUUUUUCAUUAAAGAUAAGAAUGUCUUCAUAAAAA